rnacentral:rRNA from 1 species
UACGUAGGGGGCAAGCGUUAUCCGGAAUUAUUGGGCGUAAAGAGCUCGUAGGCGGUCUGUCACGUCGGCUGUGAAAUCCCGAGGCUCAACCUCGGGUCUGCAGUCGAUACGGGCAAACUAGAGUAUUGCAGGGGAGACUGGAAUUCCUGGUGUAGCGGUGAAAUGCGCAGAUAUCAGGAGGAACACCGGUGGCGAAGGCGGGUCUCUGGGCAAUAACUGACGCUGAGGAGCGAAAGCGUGGGGAGCGAACAGG